UACGUAGGUGGCAAGCGUUGUCCGGAUUUACUGGGCGUAAAGGGAGCGUAGGCGGAUUUUUAAGUGAGAUGUGAAAUACCCGGGCUUAACUUGGGUGCUGCAUUUCAAACUGGAAGUCUAGAGUGCAGGAGAGGAGAAGGGAAUUCCUAGUGUAGCGGUGAAAUGCGUAGAGAUUAGGAAGAACACCAGUGGCGAAGGCGAUUCUCUGGACUGUAACUGACGCUGAGGCUCGAAAGCGUGGGGAGCAAACAGGAUUAGAUACCCCUGUAGU
rnacentral:rRNA from 1 species